GAUGAACGCUGGCGGCGUGCCUAAUACAUGCAAGUCGAGCGAACGGACGAGAAGCUUGCUUCUCUGAUGUUAGCGGCGGACGGGUGAGUAACACGUGGAUAACCUACCUAUAAGACUGGGAUAACUUCGGGAAACCGGAGCUAAUACCGGAUAAUAUUUUGAACCGCAUGGUUCAAAAGUGAAAGACGGUCUUGCUGUCACUUAUAGAUGGAUCCGCGCUGCAUUAGCUAGUUGGUAAGGUAACGGCUUACCAAGGCAACGAUGCAUAGCCGACCUGAGAGGGUGAUCGGCCACACUGGAACUGAGACACGGUCCAGACUCCUACGGGAGGCAGCAGUAGGGAAUCUUCCGCAAUGGGCGAUAGCCUGACGGAGCAACGCCGCGUGAGUGAUGAAGGUCUUCGGAUCGUAAAACUCUGUUAUUAGGGAAGAACAUAUGUGUAAGUAACUGUGCACAUCUUGACGGUACCUAAUCAGAAAGCCACGGCUAACUACGUG
rnacentral:rRNA from 1 species